UCUCUCAGUACCCUGCGCCGCUCUUCUCAGUACCCAUCCCGCAGACAGGAAAUGACGCAAUACCGCUGCUCUCAGUCCCCUCAGACCGGAAAUGUCGUCAACCCUUGCGACGAAAACAAGUUACGUUAUUUCACCUCUCGCGAAGAAAACACGGUAAGUGGCCGCACUGAAAAAAAGUUUUUAAAAGCGUAUGCAUGUUUAAAAAUGUUAAAUAGUUAAACAACACUUGCGGUGAAAAUAUGAAGUGUUUAUUCUGAGUUGAAAAGACCGUACUUAUAUCUAGUAUUCUUAAUGUAAUUUAAAUAAUGUCUUCCUUUACUAACUGCAUAUGACUUUGCUCUACUUAUAUUGUUUAAUACGUACUGAUGAAUUCAGCAGCGAAUUGGCUAAUGCUGCUAAUGAUUUUACUUUUUUUUUUUUCACAAUGAACAGUCUUCUUUGUGUAGUUUUCAUUAUAUUGCACUCUUAUUUUUCAUUAUGUACAUGCCUGCAAUUCGCAGCUCGCUGUUUUUGUUGUUGUAUGGUAUUGUUGUUUUGCCUUCAUUUGUUUUGUCUGGUCCUUUGUAGUUUGAAUGUUGUCACAUGAUCCAAAUAGGACAAGCUCCUUGAUCACCACCCCAUUGGGAAGAAACUAAAUCACGACCCCCAAAUGGUAGUCUUCCCAUGCAGAUACAGGGAUGUCACACAGAUCCAAAUGGAAACAUCGAACACUGUAAAACCCACUGUGCAGACAGGACCAAUGGUGACAAUAUAAGACCAUGCCGAGCUUCAUGGACGGUUCAAACUCAUCCUGCCCAGGAACGGCUGAAAACGUUUACAGUCAAUCAACAGGGGAACAUGGAAAGAGAGGAUUGGACGUGAAAUAGAGGGUUCUCCGGGACAGCCAUAGGGGAAAGACUGUGGCAUCUUCAUGUUGAUGGUAGACUGAUAUGCCAACUCUGAGGAAGUGGUGGUGUAUAUUGCUAGCGGACAAUUUCAAACUUGGGUGCAUGCCACAGGAAAGAGUUUGCCCUAUGGACAGAUGAGGCAAAAGCAUUACUGCAGGGUUAAGUGCCACCAGUCUAUCAGUUACAGAGGUGAAAUUUGAAUAUAAUUGCUGAGGAAGAGGUGCAACCACAGCUCCUUCAAGUUAGUGGUGGCCCACUCCAAAAAGAUAUGGCGGGAAAAAAUGUUUUGCUAAAAGGAUUGUGCAAGACAGCACAAAAGCCUCGGACAGGGCUGGGGGUGUGGAAUCAAUGCAGUAGGAGUUCCCAAGCAUCCUGCAGAUGGAAGAGGAUGAGCACGAACUACAAUGUCUUGGAGCCAUUCAAGUUCUGUUUCAACCAUCUGGAAGAUGGAUUUACCUUUUUUGAGGAGAUUGUUGACUAAAGAAAAUAUCUGGUGUUCUCUCAAUAAUAAUAAAAAAUAAUAAAACUAAAAAAAUAAAGUUUACCACAUUAGAACUGGUUGUAUUGAGUUCAUUUUUCUACACUUAUAAAUUAGUUGUUUUUUUUCUUUUAUCCCAGAUGUUAGUUGUAGGUAGUUUUAAUUACCUGUGAUGAAGGCGGGAGUGCUUGCCGAAAAAUGUCAGGUAAUUAAAACAACCUACAACUAUUGUCUGGGAUAAAAGAAAAAAACAACUAACACAUGACAACUAUUUUGUCAUUUCUGUUUGAAAUAAAGGUGCCUUUCCUGGAGCAGAAAGUUUAAUAUAGUUUCUGAAUUAGUUAAUUAGGAUCUUCACCCACAUGAAUGAAUUUAAGUAGCAAAAUGAAAGACAAAAUUGGUUUGGUUGCAACAUUGAGAGAAUAUUACGUUUUUGAUACAU